GAUGAACGCUGGCGGCGUGCCUAAUACAUGCAAGUCGAGCGAACAGACGAGGAGCUUGCUCCUCUGACGUUAGCGGCGGACGGGUGAGUAACACGUGGAUAACCUACCUAUUAGACUGGGAUAACUUCGGGAAACCGGAGCUAAUACCGGAUAAUAUCUUGAACCGCAUGGUUCAAUAGUGAAAGACGGUUUUGCUUUCACUCAAAGAUGGCUUCGCGUCGCAUUAGUUAGUUGGUAAGGUAACGGCUUACCAAGGCAACGAUGCGUAGCCGACCUGAGAGGGUGGUCGGCCACACUGGAACUGGACCACGGUCCAGACUCCUACGGGAGGCAGCAGUGGGGAAUCUUCCGCAAGGGGCGAAAGCCUGACGGGGAAACGCCGCGUGGGUGAUAAGGGUCUUGGGAUCGUAAAACUCUGUUAUUAGGGAAGAACAAAUGUGUAAGUAACUAUGCACGCCUUGACGGUACCUUAUCAGAAAGCCACGGCUAACUACGUC
rnacentral:rRNA from 1 species